AUGUCCACACACGUGGACACGGCGGUCCUGAGCGUGCCGUCUCCCCAACUGACGACUGUUCGCUACGUUUUGUUGCGCA
rnacentral:sRNA from 1 species